GAUAACCUACCUAUAAGACUGGGAUAACUUCGGGAAACCGGAGCUAAUACCGGAUAAUAUUUUGAACCGCAUGGUUCAAAAGUGAAAGACGGUCUUGCUGUCACUUAUAGAUGGAUCCGCGCUGCAUUAGCUAGUUGGUAAGGUAACGGCUUACCAAGGCAACGAUGCAUAGCCGACCUGAGAGGGUGAUCGGCCACACUGGAACUGAGACACGGUCCAGACUCCUACGGGAGGCAGCAGUAGGGAAUCUUCCGCAAUGGGCGAAAGCCUGACGGAGCAACGCCGCGUGAGUGAUGAAGGUCUUCGGAUCGUAAAACUCUGUUAUUAGGGAAGAACAUAUGUGUAAGUAACUGUGCACAUCUUGACGGUACCUAAUCAGAAAGCCACGGCUAACUACGUGCCAGCAGCCGCGGUAAUACGUAGGUGGCAAGCGUUAUCCGGAAUUAUUGGGCGUAAAGCGCGCGUAGGCGGUUUUUUAAGUCUGAUGUGAAAGCCCACGGCUCAACCGUGGAGGGUCAUUGGAAACUGGAAAACUUGAGUGCAGAAGAGGAAAGUGGAAUUCCAUGUGUAGCGGUGAAAUGCGCAGAGAUAUGGAGGAACACCAGUGGCGAAGGCGACUUUCUGGUCUGUAACUGACGCUGAUGUGCGAAAGCGUGGGGAUCAAACAGGAUUAGAUACCCUGGUAGUCCACGCCGUAAACGAUGAGUG
rnacentral:rRNA from 1 species